rnacentral:rRNA from 1 species
GGCGGCGUGCUUAACACAUGCAAGUCGAACGGAAAGGCCCUGCUUUUGUGGGGUGCUCGAGUGGCGAACGGGUGAGUAACACGUGAGUAACCUGCCCUUGACUUUGGGAUAACUUCAGGAAACUGGGGCUAAUACCGGAUAGGAGCUCCUGCUGCAUGGUGGGGGUUGGAAAGUUUCGGCGGUUGGGGAUGGACUCGCGGCUUAUCAGCUUGUUGGUGGGGUAGUGGCUUACCAAGGCUUUGACGGGUAGCCGGCCUGAGAGGGUGACCGGCCACAUUGGGACUGAGAUACGGCCCAGACUCCUACGGGAGGCAGCAGUGGGGAAUAUUGCACAAUGGGCGGAAGCCUGAUGCAGCAACGCCGCGUGCGGGAUGACGGCCUUCGGGUUGUAAACCGCUUUCGCCUGUGACGAAGCGUGAGUGACGGUAAUGGGUAAAGAAGCACCGGCUAACUACGUGCCAGCAGCCGCGGUGAUACGUAGGGUGCGAGCGUUGUCCGGAUUUAUUGGGCGUAAAGGGCUCGUAGGUGGUUGAUCGCGUCGGAAGUGUAAUCUUGGGGCUUAACCCUGAGCGUGCUUUCGAUACGGGUUGACUUGAGGAAGGUAGGGGAGAAUGGAAUUCCUGGUGGAGCGGUGGAAUGCGCAGAUAUCAGGAGGAACACCAGUGGCGAAGGCGGUUCUCUGGGCCUUUCCUGACGCUGAGGAGCGAAAGCGUGGGGAGCGAACAGGCUUAGAUACCCUGGUAGUCCACGCUGUAAACGGUGGGUACUAGGUGUGGGGUCCAUUCCACGGGUUCCGUGCCGUAGCUAACGCUUUAAGUACCCCGCCUGGGGAGUACGGCCGCAAGGCUAAAACUCAAAGGAAUUGACGGGGCCCCGCACAAGCGGCGGAGCAUGCGGAUUAAUUCGAUGCAACGCGUAGAACCUUACCUGGGUUUGACAUGGAUCGGGAGUGCUCAGAGAUGGGUGUGCCUCUUUUGGGGUCGGUUCACAGGUGGUGCAUGGCUGUCGUCAGCUCGUGUCGUGAGAUGUUGGGUUAAGUCCCGCAACGAGCGCAACCCUUGUUCACUGUUGCCAGCACGUUAUGGUGGGGACUCAGUGGAGACCGCCGGGGUCAACUCGGAGGAAGGUGGGGAUGACGUCAAGUCAUCAUGCCCCUUAUGUCCAGGGCUUCACGCAUGCUACAAUGGCUGGUACAGAGAGUGGCGAGCCUGUGAGGGUGAGCGAAUCUCGGAAAGCCGGUCUCAGUUCGGAUUGGGGUCUGCAACUCGACCUCAUGAAGUCGGAGUCGCUAGUAAUCGCAGAUCAGCAACGCUGCGGUGAAUACGUUCCCGGGGCUUGUACACACCGCCCGUCAAGUCAUGAAAGUUGGUAACACCCGAAGCCGGUGGCCUAACCGAUGUGGGGGAGCCGUCGAAGGUGGGACUGGUGAUUAGGACUAA